rnacentral:rRNA from 1 species
GACGAACGCUGGCGGCGUGCUUAACACAUGCAAGUCGAACGGAAAGGCCCUGCUUGCGGGGUACUCGAGUGGCGAACGGGUAAGUAACACGUGGGUGGUCUGCCCUGCACUUCGGGAUAAGCUUGUGAAACCGGGUCUAAUACCGGAUAGGACCGCACUUUAGUGUGUGUGGUGGAAAGUUUUUUCGGUGUAGGAUGAGCUCGCGGCCUAUCAGCUUGUUGGUGGGGUAAUGGACUACCAAGGGGGCGACGGGUAGCCGGCCGGAGAGGGUGUACGGCCACAUUGGGAGUGAGAUACAGCCCAGACACCUACGGGAGGCAGCAGGGGGGAAUAUUGCACAAUGGGCGCAAGCCUGAUGCAGCGACGCCGCGUGGGGGAUGAAGGCCUUCGGGUUGUAAGCUCCUUUCGCUAGGGACGAAGCUUUUUGUGACGGUACCUAGAUAAGAAGCACCGGCUAACUACGUG